UGCGCGUGCGUACAAAAGCUAAAUAUCUCAAAUGUUCAGUGCUGACCACGGAUUUUGCACUGCAUAAUUAUCAAGCGCUCAUCUCAAGACUCGCUUACCAAAGAUGGCAUCGCUCCACAGAACUCAACAACAAAUCAAACAUGAACAACAUCAACAGCAACAACCAUUCGAGCAACAACUACAAAGGCAACAGUCAGCAUUUCUAAUAAUAACAACAACAAAAACAACAACGGCAGCAGCAACAUCAAGAGAAGCCGGACAUCAUUGCUGAUCGCUAGCGAAAUGAAACAAAAACAGAAUCGAGGCGAAUUUCAAAUGUUUAAUACAAAUUUUGCUUUUAAUAUGAAAGCGACCUAAAACUACGAAAAUAGGGAAAGAGGAACUGACCUUGAAGGGUCAAGUGCAGCACACACCCAUACACGCACACACGCACACACACACACACACACACACAUUUACACAAACACACUAAGAAGCACAAAUACACCCACACAUACGGACACAUAUGCACACUGUUACUCCACCCACGCAUUCAUACGGAACACAGUGAAAGGGUAACUGCAAAAACUGAUCUGCGUCAUUGUAAAACGUUUCAACGAAUUUCCAAAAAGUCUACAACAAAUACAAAAUUCCAAAAUACAAAAUAAAUAAAUAAUAAACCA
rnacentral:misc_RNA from 1 species